rnacentral:lncRNA from 1 species
GGGACACACCAGGACCAAAAAAAAAAAGUUCUGACACAGUGACUAUAGUUACUACUCACCAGAUUGCUUUCCCGGGAACCAUGAACCGGAAGAAGAGAAUUACAGUGUCAUAGAGAAGUAAGAGAAGAGACUAGGGUGAGUUUAUGGUUCUCUUUUAAAAUGAAUUGACCUCAAAAAGGGCUAAGAUUGGGCUUAAUCUCUAUCGUGGAAAAAUAUGGAUUGUGUGCAUGUGCAGUGCCACCAUAUGCUUACCAUAUCCAUGUCUGUCCUCCAUGAAGUACGAGCAUGAUGCAGUCAUGACAUGCUGUUAUAAUGUAAGUAGAUGCAAAUAUCAAAAAAUUAUCUGUUUCUUUCACAUUUUUCAUCUUUCCACCCUUCUCAAUAACCAUACAACUCAAUAGAACCUGAGGGGGGAGGGGGGGGGGAAUUCAAGUAAGUUGUCCCUUGAGAAAAUUGUGCCAUGAAAAGAAGCAUCAUGCUUGAAUAGUAGCAUGGUGUUGCAGCUUUUGAUAGGCAAGUUGGGAUAAAAUAGCUGACAAGUGAUGAGUCACAAAAACUGGAUCAAGUCAAUCGUCAAUCACCCAAUAUAUGUCUCCUAAAGCUAAUUUCUUGACCAACAUCAACAAAGUGCAACGCCUAAAUGGUAUUAAAACCUGGACAAUCUUGUUUGAACAUAAAUCAUACAUACACAUGCACAUAGACAAGCAUUAUAAGCAAGUUUGAACAUAUUUGAUCGUUAUAACAAGCAUUUCCAUUUUCUAACAUUUCUCUACAAUUUACGAGAUUGUUGCAUUUAGUUGUAUAUUAGAACAAAAGCUGAAAGAAUGAUCACACCAACGAAAUAUUAUCGGUAAUAUUAGAAUCCAUGCCUUCUAAGAAUACAUCUUGUCAUAUUUCAGUUUCCUAAUUAAGGAAUAUUUGAGUGUAUCAAAUAGGAUUCUGUAAAUAAUAUUUUAUCCCUAACUUUAAGGCUGUUUUUAGGUACAGCAUCCCUAGAAUUAGUAUGUUUUCUAGUGUAAAGUUUCCUAAGUUAGGCUCACUAUGUCUAUAAAUAUUUAUGUAAUUUCUUGUGAAAAAUAUAAUUGAAAUAGUCUGUUUUUAACAUUGUAUCAGAGUUUUUUUAGCCCGAUUUUUGGGAUUUUUUUUUUCUUUGUCUGGCGAUGUUUUUUUCCUGAUUCCAACUAGCCCUCAAGCCUGUAAAAUUUGUUCAAACGAAACAUGACUGAAACUGUCAAGAUCAGUAACACUGGGGAUGUCUCAGAAGUUUCUGUGAACAACUCAAACCCAACAAGUGAGUUUCAAAACAUCCAAGUAGCCUACAGGCUAAAUGGGAAAAAUUACCUGAAGUGGUCUCAACUGGUUCGUACGUUCUUGAAUGGAAGAGGAAAACUGAGUCACUUACUCAGAAUUGGACCUAAAGAAAGAGAUCCUAAGUUUGAUGCUUGGGAUGAACAAGACUCUAUGGUAAUGUCUUGUUUAUGGAACUCUAUGAUGCCAGAAAUCAGUGAUAUAUGCAUGUUUCUUAAUACAUCCAAAGAAAUAUGGGAAGCUGUGAAACAGACUUAUUCUAAAGUUCGAGAUGUUGCUCAAAUCUAUGAAAUCAAGACUAAGAUUUCAUCUACCAAGCAAGGAAGUCAAUCAAUCACGGAGUAUUCCAAUCUGUUGCAAAGUUUAUGGCAAGAGAUGGAUCAUUACCAGUGCAUUCAGAAGAAGUACAGUGAAGAUGCAGCACUCCUGAAAAGGUUCGUUGAAAAGGAUCGAAUUUAUGAUUUUCUUGCUGGACUAAAUGUUGAGUUUGAUGCAGUAAAAGUUCAAGUACUUGGAAAAGAGGAACUACCAUCACUAAAUGAAACAAUUGCAAUUGUUCGUGCUGAGGAAGGAAGAAGAGGAGUUAUGGUUGAGAACAGUCAAGUGGAUAGUUCAGCCUUGGUUUCAAAAGCUGUAAGUGAGAGGAGAUUUGGCCUGGAGCAGCCAAAUAGUGAAGAUAAUAGACAGACAGACGUACAAAGCCUAUUAACAGGGAUUCCGUAUGGUGCACCUAUUGUAAAAAGGCCCGUCACACUAAAGAAAGAUGCUGGAAACUCUAUGGGAAGCCACAAACAACAAAUAAAAUUUUUUCAGAAAAAGAUGGACAACCAAAGGGACAAGGACGAGCAUAUACAGCAAGACAGCUGGAUGGAAAAAAAUAAUUCUCAGGAAUCACCUGUUGAAUUCAAUAAAGAAGAAAUUGAGAAGUUAAAAAAUUUGCUGGGAUCAUUGGAAAAAACUUCUUCAACAGGUACUUGUAGUUUGGCUUUUUUAGGUAUAUCCUCUUCUCAAGAUUCUAAAGUCUCAGAUACAGUCACCAAAAGUUCUUGAGUCAUUGACUCAGGAGCUACAGACCACAUGAUCCACUCCUCACAAAAAUUUGUUUCAUAUACACCUUGCCCUAGUAGUAGAAAAAUAACAGUAGCCGAUGGUUCUGUGAUCACAAUGGCUGGUCAGGGUGAUAUUGUUAUAAACAAAACCCUUACUCUUAAAAAUGUCCUUCAUGUUCCAAAACUAUUUACCAAUCUUUUAUCCAUUCAAAGAAUUACCAAAGACUCUAACUGUAAAGUGGUUUUCUAUCACAAUCGAUGUCUUUUUCAGGAACAGAAUACGAGGAGGAUGAUUGGACAUGCUAAGGAAGUAAAUGGCCUAUACUAUCUUGAAGAAUCCAGUGGAGAAGUUAGUGCUCUGAAUUCCUCACCUUCAUCUUUCAUAUCCCGAAUCUAUUAAAACCAAUAAAGACCAAAUUUGGCUUUAUCACCUUCGCCUUGGUCAUCCAUCGUUUAGAGUCCUUAAAAUUAUGUUUCCUUCAUUGUUCAAAGGAUUGGCUGUUGAAAAAUUUCAUUAUGAUAUCUGUGAACUUGUAAAACAUAAACGUACCCCUUUUCCAGUAAGCAAUAAAAGAACUUUCACUCCUUUUACUCUUAUUCAUAGUGAUGUUUGGGGGCCAUCCACUAUUUCAAAUAUUUCUGGAGCUCGGUGGUUUGUAUCCUUUAUUGAUGAUUGUACUCGUGUGUCUUGGAUAUUUCUUUUAAAACAAAAAUCUGAUGUAAGGUCUGUCUUUCCAACCUUUUACAACAUGAUCAAAACACAAUUUGGAGCUGAAAUAAAAAGGUUUAGAUCAGACAAUGCCAAGGAUUAUUUCAAUCAAUUUCUCUCAACAUAUUUCCAGGAAAGAGGCAUUAUACAUGAGUCAUCUUGUGUUAGUACACCUCAACAAAAUGGUGUUGCCGAAAAAAAGAAUGGUCACAUUUUAGCUAUUACAAGAGCCUUUUUGUUCCAAAAAAAUGUCCCUAAACAAUAUUGGGGGGAGGCUGUUUUAACUGCUACUCAUUUGAUAAAUAGAUUGCCUACAAAAGUCCUUGAAUCUCAAAGUACUAUGCAAGUUCUAGCAAAAUUCUUUCCUGAUUUCAAUACUUCAAGUAACCUUACUCCCAAAAUAUUUGGUUGUGUUGCUUUUGCACAUGUUCAUUCUCAAAUUAGAGGAAAAUUUGAUCCACGAGCUAUCAAGUGUGUCUUUCUUGGUUAUUCUUCUACUCAAAAGGGGUACAAAUGCUAUCAUCCAGCCACAAAAAAAAAAUUUGUAACAGCAGAUGUUACUUUUGCAGAACAAGAUAAUUUCUUUACUCGUCCUUAUCUUCAGGGGGAGAUCUUAUUCACAGAAGAUAAGGACAAAAAAUUCUUUCUUCUUGACAUUCCAGCUCCUGUCUAGCAACAAAACACCCACAUUCCAGCUCCUGUCCAGCAGCAAAACACUCACAUCACCAAACACUCCCACUCAGUCCUUGCCUACUAACCAACCUGCCCGACUUGAAACAAUGGCCCCUAUACAACCUGAAACAGAACCUAAUACACCCAAAUCACCAAAAGGAAUUCAGGACACUACUCUUCCUUUACUGGUUUACUCAAGGAAGAAAGCACCGGUGCAAGUUCAAUCAUCUUCUUCUCCUAUACGACCUGAGGUAAUUGCUGAACCUACUUUGAAUUCUAAUACUGCAAAUUUAGAUGAUUUUCCCAUUGCUAUUAGAAAGGGGACUAGAACCUGUACAAAACAUCCCUUGUACCUAUUCAUGUCUUACAAAAACUUGUCCCAUAACCACAAAACCUUUCUUACCAGCUUAAAUUCUAUCUCCAUUCCCAAAACUGUAUCCGAGGCAUUAGAAGAUGAGAAUUGGAAAAAUGCCAUGAAAGUUGAAAUGGAAGUUCUUGAAAAAAAUAAGACAUGGGACUUAGUGCAAUUACCGAGAGGAAAGAAACCAGUGGGAUGUCGCUGGGUGUACAUAGUGAAAUAUAAGUCAGAUGGUUCUUUGGAGAGGUACAAAGCAAGAUUGGUUGCUAAAGGGUACACUCAAAUGUAUGGAAUAGACUACCUUGAGACAUUUGCCCCUGUAGCAAAGAUGAACACUGUAAGAGUGUUGUUGUCACCAGCUGCCAACCGAGGCUGGAAAUUACAGCAAUUUGACAUCAAAAAUGCCUUUUUACACGGUGAUCUUGAGGAGGAAGUCUAUAUGGAUGUUCCUCCAGGAUUCAGUCCAAAUACAGGACAGGUAGUUUGCAUACUAAAAAAGGCUUUGUACGGACUAAAACAGUCCCCGAGGGCUUGGUUUGGAAGAUUUACCAAAGUAAUGCUCAAGUUGGGGUAUAAACAGAGUCAAGGAGAUCACACUCUAUUUGUAAAACACUCAUCUUCAGGGGGAGUGACUACUUUAUUAGUCUAUGUUGAUGACAUUAUAGUGACUGGUGAUGAUCUAGAAGGAAUGGAGAAUUUAAAGAAAUGCCUAAUAAAAGAAUUUGAAGUCAAAGAGCUCGGUAAGUUAAAAUAUUUCCUUGGUAUUGAAGUGGCACACUCUCGGGAAGGAAUAUUCAUAUCUCAGCAAAAAUACAUAGUUGAUUUGUUGACAGAGACGGGCAAGUUGGGCUGUAAACCAGCAGAGACACCCAUAGAGGUGAACCACAGACUUGGAAAUGCACUAGAAGAUGCAGAAAAGGUCAUAUCAAAGACUUGUAGGGAAGCUCAUUUACUUGUCUCAUACCAGACCAGAUAUUGCCUAUGCAGUAGGCAACCUUGUGACUUGGAGGAGUAAAAAACAAAAUGUUGUGGCUAGAUCUAGUGCAGAAGCUGAAUUUAGGGCGAUGGCUCUUGGAGUUUGUGAGUUGUUAUGGCUAAAAAUUAUUUUGGAAGAUUUGAACAUCGAGUGGGAAGGUCCAAUGAAGUUGUAUUGCGAUAAUAAGUCUGCCAUCAAUAUUGCACAUAAUCCAGUUCAACAUGAUCGAACGAAGCACGUUGAGGUUGACAAACAUUUUAUAAAGGAAAAACUGGACAGUGGCUUAAUUUGCACUCCAUUUGUGUCCACUGAUGGUCAACUAGCAGACAUACUUACCAAAGGAUUGUCUGGGAAGUUGUUUCAAAAAUUAGUAAGCAAGCUGAGAAUAGAUGAUAUCCACUUCCCAGCUUGAGGGAGAGUGUCAGAUUUCAGUUUCCUAAUUAAGGAAUAUUUGAGUGUAUCAAAUAGGAUUCUGUAAAUAUUUUAUCCCUAACUUUAAGGCUGUUUUUUAGGUACAGCAUCCCUAGAAUUAGUAUGUUUCCUAGUGUAAAGUUUCCUAAGUUAGGCUCACUAUGUCUAUAAAUAUUUAUGUAAUUUCUUGGGAAAAUUAUAAUUGAAAUAGCCUGUUUUUAACAUAUCUCGUUGCUGUAAGAUGAAAUGAAAAAAAACCAUAAAAU